UAUUUCACCGAGAAUUUCAUGGGACUAAAGAAAGGAAUAUCAAGAAGUGCUUCAAUGCUUACUGUAGUAUUCACAUGUCACAGGGAAUGGUCUCAAAGGUCCACUUCCAUCAACAUCAAUAUUUAUGUCUGCACGUAAACCAACUGGAUUGACAUUCUUGAAAGCUUCACAGGAUAAUGGAUUCAAAGCUGCAAAAACGUAAAUGGAAUUAAAAUUAUAUUACGUUGAAUUAAUAUUAGAGGAUUUCAUGCUGAUAAAAUUUAAAUUACAGAGCGUACUACGUUACUGGGGAAAGAGGGGGAAGAUUAAGCAUAGCGUUACAUAACCUUUUCGACCUCCUCAAAAAUGCAAAUGCAAAUUAAGAAUGUUACUGAGGUAAAUCACCUCACUUAUGUAACUCAUUUUUUUGCAGUAUUUCAUUAAAGUAUAAAGUAAAAUGCCUAGGAUUUUAUACAACUUUCAAUGGAACUUUUUUCUGCUUUUUAGGAAAAUAAUGUAGGAGGGAGGUAGCAAGUGGACUUGACAUUACUUAAUUUAUUAUGAGAGAUGAAAGGAUGUUCUCAAGUUGUGUUAUGUUGUGUUACAUGGAGGGAAGGGAGAUCUUGAAAGCAAAAAAAAUGUUACAUAAUACAGGUACUGUCCCGUAGUAAAAGAAUUUGAUCAUCCCAAAUUUGAAGAAUGACAAGUUUCCUGAACUUUUAAAAUUUUUCAAGUUCUCCAGGUUUUGCAUCAACAAGUUUUGGAUUAUCACUGAUUUCUUAAGAUUUUGGGAAUGAAAGCGCUUUUCACACAACCAAUAUUCAGUGCCAAAAUAAGGUUCUGCAGAUAGCUCAAAUGAAAUCAGAGCCAUACUAAGUUUUGACAAAACAAGGAAAUUCGAGGUUUGAUGGUUAAAUUUUGCUUUCAGGAGACAAAAUGAAACUUACAAGUAUGACAGACAGCACCCGAAUAGCCUGUGUUAGAGCAAUCACAGAAGAACUCAAGAGAAUUCUGAUGACAAACUCCUCCAUGCUGACACGGGUUGGGAGUGCAUCUAUCUAUCAUCUGACAUGCAUCGAAUACAACUUCACCUUUACAGCAGUAUGCCUAGAUAGAAAGAAAAAGCGUAAGAGAAAGUUCUAGCGCAAGGAAAUCACUUUGAGGUCCUCUACUGUACAUCAAAAUACCGUUGGCACUGUUAGUUUUAAACCUGAAUCGGAUGGAUUCACGGAGUGAAGAGAUCGGCUCAUGUUUCAAAUUCCACUGAAUCAGCGAAGAUCCAUUGAAGUAGACAUUUUCGGCAACUGAAAAGAGAAAUUAGCAGUAAAUGGUAUUGCUUAUAAUUAUAACAUCUUGCCCUGAUUAACU
rnacentral:lncRNA from 1 species